CGGACCUGACUGCUAUCGGAUUGAUACUAAGCCAUGCGAGUCAUUGUAGUAAUACAAGGCAGACGGCUCAGUAACGCGUAGUCAACCUAACCUAUGGACGGGGAUAACCUCGGGAAACUGAGAAUAAUACCCGAUAGAACAUUAUGCCUGGAAUGGUUUAUGUUUCAAAUAAUUUAUUGCCGUAGGAUGGGACUGCGGCCUAUCAGUUUGUUGGUGAGGUAAUGGCCCACCAAGACUAUUACAGGUACGGGCUCUGAGAGGAGUAGCCCGGAGAUGGGUACUGAGACACGGACCCAGGCCCUAUGGGGCGCAGCAGGCGAGAAAACUUUGCAAUGUGCGAAAGCACGACAAGGUUAAUCCGAGUGGUUUCUGCUAAAGGAACCUUUUGCCAGUCCUAGAAACACUGGUGAAUAAGGGGUGGGCAAGUUCUGGUGUCAGCCGCCGCGGUAAAACCAGCACCUCAAGUGGUCAGGAUGAUUAUUGGGCCUAAAGCAUCCGUAGCCUGCUUUGUUAGUUUUCGGUUAAAUCCAUUCGCUCAACGAAUGGGCUGCCGGGAAUACUGCAAAGCUAGGGAGUGGGAGAGGUAGACGGUACUCGGUAGGAAGGGGUAAAAUCCUUUGAUCUAUUGAUGACCACCUGUGGCGAAGGCGGUCUACCAGAACACGUCCGACGGUGAGGGAUGAAAGCUGGGGGAGCAAACCGGAUUAGAUACCCGGGUAGUCCCAGCUGUAAACUAUGCAAACUCAGUGAUGCAUUGGCUUGAUGCCAAUGCAGUGCUGCAGGGAAGCCGUUAAGUUUGCCGCCUGGGAAGUACGUACGCAAGUAUGAAACUUAAAGGAAUUGGCGGGG
rnacentral:rRNA from 1 species